rnacentral:misc_RNA from 1 species
AAUAUUUGUUGUUAAAACCAAAAACCCAGAAACCAUCCUUUCCCUCUCAACCACACAACUCAACACCCACAGCUCCACCAUCUUUCUCGCUGAUAAAUUGGCAGAAAUUGUAGAACCACUGUCCGCAAGAAAUUGCAGUACCAAUUGCACAGAUCGUAGAUGGAACACCAAUAUCGAUGUUGCAAGAAAUUGCAAAACUAGAAAUUUCCUUCUUCAAGGCAUAAUCCAUUCAAGUUCUACAAACCUGGAACAAAACCCACAACCCAAAACUCCAUAUCUACGUAAAAUGCUAAUGAAAAUAAUUUUUCCAAUGAACAAGAACAUCACAAUGCAUAGGAGAAACCAACAGCUUUAUUUGAGAUUGAAAUCAAGGGAUCUCCGAGGUGGGUUGAUCUCAUGUUUUACAUAUAUGCUUAUACAACAAACCUCAACAUUUGACAUGGCUCACACAGAAACCUUUACAAACAUCUAAAUCCAAGAUAUUCAACACAAAACUUCUCCAUCACCUCGCCACCUCUCUCCUUACAAACCUCCUCCUUCAUCUCUGCCACCACCUCACCCAAUUCCUUACAAACCAACAACCAACGCACCAACCAUAACACUGCCCACCACUGGCACAAGCUGAAAUGGAAACCUCAUAGCAUCGGCGGCCAAGGAUUAUUCCAUCAUCAGAGCAUGUGUCUCCUGGCUCGAUGACUCCACGACUCGAUGAUUCCAUCACCAUUCGACCUCGUAGUACCCUCACUGCCCACAAGCCUCAUCCCCCUAACCUCUACCUCAAGCCCAUCAUCUGCACACAGUGCCAACCGUGUGAAUAUUAAUCCCCAAACACCACCAAAUCGAUUACAACAAAUCCAUCAAAUCGUCGAAGUCGAAAUUCCCAACAUAAAACGAAGUGAUUCCUCAGAAAAUCUCCCAUACUUACGGUGAAAUCCCUCCCAUUCCCAAAUCAAUAAAACCACUACCACCCGCACCGUGUCCUCUACUACCUCAUCUGCCACCAACACUGUAGCUCACGUGAAGCGGCUAGGAGCUCAGUUUUUAAUGCAUGUGUCUUAAGUUGAGGGUGUUCUGUGGGUCUGAAGAUUUGGGUAAGGUUUUGAUGUCGGGGUGAAGGGAAGCUGGGACAGAAAAAUGGAAUUGCUGGUGUGAGCGUGUGCAGCAGCUUGGUUGUGAAAAUGGUGUGAGUAGAUGGUGAACAGUGAGAGUUUGCAAU